CUUAGAAACCACAUACAGACAUUUACUCAUUCAAAGAUUACAACAAGAGCAAAGGAGCAAAAGCUAAGGAUGGAAUUCUUGUGCCAAGGUAAGAGCUCAUGGCCUGAGCUAGUCGGGACUUGUGGAGAAUUAGCAGCAAAAACCAUCGAGGAGGAGAACCCCUUCGUCUCUGCCCUCAUUGCUAGACCACACCAACCUGUCUCUACUAUUUUCAGUUGCGCCCGAGUAGUUGUUUGGGUUGAUGAGAAAGGCAUUGUUGGAAUUAUGCCUGUCAUCGGUUAAACUAAGUCAAUGGAGACGAUUCUUCGUAACUUCACUUGCCUUGUAGUUGGCCUGUAAUAUGAUUAAAAUAAAUAAGUCGUUCGAGGGUGGUCUUGCUGUCUAAUUUGAUUUACUGUUUAAUGUGUUUAUCAAUAAAAUGUGAGCUUUGUGUUUGCUUAAAUUUGGGACAUCAGAAGUGGGACGAAAAAUUUGUUCUAUAGUAAAGGUGUAAAUGUUUCGUCACUUUUGUGUCACGUAUUGAAGCUUCAUAAGAUGUCAUGCAAAUAAAUUAAUUAAUGUGAA